UGGGGAAUAUUGCACAAUGGGGGAAACCCUGAUGCAGCGACGCCGCGUGAACGAAGAAGGUAUUCGUAUCGUAAAGUUCUGUCCUAUGGGAAGAUAAUGACAGUACCAUAGAAGAAAGCUCCGGCUAAAUACGUGCCAGCAGCCGCGGUAAUACGUAUGGAGCGAGCGUUGUCCGGAAUUAUUGGGCGUAAAGGGUACGCAGGCGGUUUAAUAAGUCGAAUGUUAAAGAUCGGGGCUCAACCCCGUAAAGCAUUGGAAACUGAUAGACUUGAGUAGUGGAGAGGAAAGUGGAAUUCCGAGUGUAGUGGUGAAAUACGUAGAUAUUAGGAGGAAUACCAGUAGCGAAGGCGACUUUCUGGACACAAACUGACGCUGAGGUACGAAAGCGUGGGGAGCAAACAGG
rnacentral:rRNA from 1 species